rnacentral:rRNA from 1 species
AGUGAACGCUGCCGGUAGGCCUAACACAUGCGAGUCGAACGGCAGCACAGUAAGAGCUUGCUCUUACGGGUGGCGAGUGGCGGACGGGUGAGGAAUACAUCGGAAUCUACUUUUUCGUGGGGGAUAACGUAGGGAAACUUACGCUAAUACCGCAUACGACCUACGGGUGAAAGCAGGGGAUCUUCGGACCUUGCGCGAUUGAAUGAGCCGAUGUCGGAUUAGCUAGUUGGCGGGGUAAAGGCCCACCAAGGCGACGAUCCGUAGCUGGUCUGAGAGGAUGAUCAGCCACACUGGAACUGAGACACGGUCCAGACUCCUACGGGAGGCAGCAGUGGGGAAUAUUGGACAAUGGGCGCAAGCCUGAUCCAGCCAUACCGCGUGGGUGAAGAAGGCCUUCGGGUUGUAAAGCCCUUUUGUUGGGAAAGAAAAGCAGCAGGUUAAUACCCCGCUGUUCUGACGGUACCCAAAGAAUAAGCACCGGCUAACUUCGUG